UACGGGGGGGGGCAAGCGUUGUUCGGAAUUACUGGGCGUAAAGGGCUCGUAGGCGGCCAACUAAGUCGGAUGUGAAAUCCCCAGGCUUAACCUGGGAACUGCAUCCGAUACUGGAUGGCUUGAAUCCGGGAGAGGGAUGCAGAAUUCCAGGUGUAGCGGUGAAAUGCGUAGAUAUCUGGAGGAAUACCGGUGGCGAAGGCGGUUAGCUGGGCAGUUGCUGACACUGAGGCGCGACAGCGUGGGGAGCAAACAGG
rnacentral:rRNA from 1 species